UACGUAGGGUGCAAGCGUUGUUCGGAUUGACUGGGCGUAAAGGGCGUGUAGGCGGUCGGUCAAGUCUGGUGUGAAAGCCCGGGGCUCAUCUCCGGAAGUGCAUCGGAAACUAGCUGGCUGGAGCGCGAUAGAGGAGGGCGGAAUUCCUGGUGUAGCGGUGAAAUGCGUAGAUAUCAGGAGGAACACCGGCGGCGAAGGCGGCCCUCUGGAUCGUUGCUGACGCUGAGACGCGAAAGCGUGGGGAGCAAACAGG
rnacentral:rRNA from 1 species